rnacentral:rRNA from 1 species
AGAGUUUGAUCCUGGCUCAGAUUGAACGCUAGCGGGAUGCUUUACACAUGCAAGUCGAACGGCAGCACGAGAGAGCUUGCUCUCUUGGUGGCGAGUGGCGGACGGGUGAGUAAUAUAUCGGAACGUGCCCAGUAGCGGGGGAUAACUACUCGAAAGAGUGGCUAAUACCGCAUACGCCCUACGGGGGAAAGGGGGGGAUCGCAAGACCUCUCACUAUUGGAGCGGCCGAUAUCGGAUUAACUAGUUGGUGGGGUAAAGGCUCACCAAGGCAACGAUCCGUAGCUGGUUUGAGAGGACGACCAGCCACACUGGGACUGAGACACGGCCCAGACUCCUACGGGAGGCAGCAGUGGGGAAUUUUGGACAAUGGGGGAAACCCUGAUCCAGCCAUCCCGCGUGUAUGAUGAAGGCCUUCGGGUUGUAAAGUACUCUUGGCAGAGAAGAAAAGGCAUCCCCUAAUACGGGAUGCUGCUGACGGUAUCUGCAGAAUAAGCACCGGCUAACUACGUGCCAGCAGCCGCGGUAAUACGUAGGGUGCAAGCGUUAAUCGGAAUUACUGGGCGUAAAGCGUGUGUAGGCGGUUCGGAAAGAAAGAUGUGAAAUCCCAGGGCUCAACCUUGGAACUGCAUUUUUAACUGCCGAGCUAGAGUAUGUCAGAGGGGGGUAGAAUUCCACGUGUAGCAGUGAAAUGCGUAGAUAUGUGGAGGAAUACCGAUGGCGAAGGCAGCCCCCUGGGAUAAUUCUGACGCUCAGACACGGAAGCGUGGGGAGCAAACAGGAUUAGAUACCCUGGUAGUCCACGCCCUAAACGAUGUAAACUAGCUGUGGGGCCCGUUAGGCCCUUAGUAGCGACAGCUAACGCGUGAAAUUGACCGCCUGGGGAGUACGGUCGCAAGAUUAAAACUCAAAGGAAUUGACGGGGACCCGCACAAGCGGUGGAUGAUGGGGAUUAAUUCGAUGCCACGCGAAACACCUUACCUACCCUUGACAUGUCUGGAAUGCCGAAGAGAUUUGGCAGCGCUCGCAAGAGAACCGGAACACAGGUGCUGCAUGGCUGCCGUCAGCUCGUGUCGUGAGAUGUUGGGUUAAGUCCCGCAACGAGCGCAACCCUUGUCAUUAGCUGCUACGCAAGAGCACUCUAAUGAGACUGCCGGUGACAAACCGGAGGAAGGUGGGGAUGACGUCAAGUCCUCAUGGCCCUUAUGGGUAGGGCUUCACACGUCAUACAAUGGUCGGGACAGAGGGUCGCCAACCCGCGAGGGGGAGCCAAUCUCAGAAACCCGAUCGUAGUCCGGAUCGCAGUCUGCAACUCGACUGCGUGAAGUCGGAAUCGCUAGUAAUCGCGGAUCAGAAUGUCGCGGUGAAUACGUUCCCGGGUCUUGUACACACCGCCCGUCA